CGUAUAUUUAAGUUGUUGCAGUUAAAAAGCUCGUAGUUGGAUUUUGGUUAAGGGGGCGCGGUCGGCCGUUUGGUCUGUACUGCGUUGUCUUGACUUCCUGAUGAGGACAUGCUCUUGGUUAACGCUGAGACAUGGAGUCAUCGUGGUUACUUUGAAAAAAUUAGAGUGUUCAAAGCGGGCUUACGCUUGAAUAUAUUAGCAUGGAAUAACACUAUAGGACUCCUGUCCUAUCUCGUUGGUCUCGGGAUGGGAGUAAUGAUUAAGAGGAACAGUUGGGGGCAUUCGUACUUCAUUGUCAGAGGUGAAAUUCUUGGAUUUAUGAAAGACGAACUUCUGCGAAAGCAUUUGCCAAGGAUGUUUUCAUUAAUCAAGAACGAAAGUUGGGGGCUCGAAGAUGAUUAGAUACCAUCCUAGUCUCAACCAUAAACGAUGCCGACUAGGGAUUGGUGGAUGUUAAUUGAUGACUUCACCAGCACCUUAUGAGAAAUCAAAGUUUUUGGGUUCCGGGGGGAGUAUGGUCGCAAGGCUGAAACUUAAAGGAAUUG
rnacentral:rRNA from 1 species